GCCAAUUUGGAUCGUCUUCUUUGUGAUCUGGCAGGCAGAUCAUCAGACCUGGAACUUUGUUUCCAGCUGUCGGACAGGGUCAGAAACAGUGAAUUGUAAUCUCUGUUCAAGCAAUCAUACAGCAUCAGGGAACUUUCACAUUAGUUGUGGGUAUUUUGUCAGACAAAAGCAGACAAGGCAAGUAUGUUUUAAGUGUUAGUGACCUCCACAAGACUGGCCAAGCAAACUUUCAAGGUGAGAAACAAAAUAAAAUUGAUUUUCAUCUUACCGUUAAGUCAACGCCCUUGUCUGCUUUAACACUUGCAUUAACACUACAGCAUGCUCUCCCUGGGGAUGCAGACAUUUGUGUGAGAGACACAGAAUCUCCUGCCUUUUUGAAUGUGAAUUCAUUAAAAUUAAAUAAAAUUUAAAAUUCAGUUCCUCAGUUGCAUUGGUAACAUUUAAAGGGCUCGGCAGCUACAUGUGGUUAGUGAUUACCGUAUUGGACAGUGCAGAUCUAGAACGUCAUCAUAGUUCUGAUGGACAGCACUGCACUGCACAUAACAAUCUGGGAAGCGGGGACACUUCCUUCUGUGACGGAUGACAGACUUGGUCACAGGGAAAAUCUGACAAAUUGUGAAGUGAGCUUUUAAAUAUGACUGCAAGCUGUUUGCAUUGUAUCUUUGGGGGUGCUGGAUUGAAUCAGAGGUAUGCUGGAAAGAUUUAUGGAAUUUUUACGUUUUCUGUCUGGUAGCUCAGAGCUCUGUUAAGUUAGUUCCCAUGUCAUGGUACUAUAGCUAGGUUUUAAAGAGAAUGUAACCAAGCUGAAUUCACUGAGGUGGUGAUUUCAGCCAGUGCAUUGGGUCUUAACAUUUAACAGGCCCUCCAUAGCCUCAGGGCCUUGAGUCCAGGGGCCAGGUGCAGGAGCCCAGUUUCUAGCUGUGGGGGUACUUCAUGUGGGAAGGGGACCUCAUUCUCAUUGCUGAGGCAGCGCCACUAAGGACCCUGGGCUGGGUGUUGGGCUAAGGUAUCUGGUGGUAGGUUCUAGAGCAGGGCAGGAGGCUGCGACUCACUCACAUGAAUGAUAAACGUCUGGAUUAGUACUAUUUCUGCACUCAAACAUCUGAUGAAGACAUCCAGAGCUAUGUUCCUAGGCUAAUCCUUGUCUCACUGUUCCACGAAGUGUGGGUCAUGGGGAGGGGUUGAUAAGUGUCUCUGAGCUUCCAGGACCCAGCCCACAACUGCUGAGGAAGCCUCACAGCCGGCUGUGCACAAGUGGGAACAUCCGUGUCUAUGUGAAAGUGCCUGUCUGCCUGUGGGUCCUUGCUUCUGUGUGUGCCUGUCCCCGCCUCCUGGCCACCAAGCAGAGGAGGGGAAGCUGAAUAAGCUGAGGUCCACGCUGCUGCCUCUGCUCCAGCUAGGAUGUGGCUCUUCCACACUCUGCUCUACAUAACCAGCCUUGCUCCUCUGGUGGCCUUCAAUGUGGAUGAGGCCCAGAUCUGGGUGACUCCUGAGGGAGACACACCCUAUGUGCUCAGCUCCCUUCUGCACCAAGACCCCAGCACCAACAAGACCUGGCUCCUGGUCGCUGGUCCUCAAACCAAGGAGGAAGGAGGCCUCCUGCAUUGUUGUUCCCUCAUCCAAGAUAAGAUCUCUUGCGAAAGAGUAGAGACUGUCCCCAUCCCAAAGGGGAGGUACCGGGGAGUGACAGUUGUUCGGAACCACCACAGUGUUUUGAUCUGCAUUCAAGUGCGGACCCCGCAGCCCCACAGUCUCAGCUCAGAACUCACAGGGACCUGCAGCCUACUAUCCAACAACUUCCAAAACCACACCCAAGUCCACUUCUCCAACCUUGAAAAUCUGGAUCCCAGUGCACACGUGGAUGACAGAGACUGCUACAGGAACAAGAAAGGCAACACAGAGAAGCCAGCCAGGUGGCGCCGGGCUCUGAAGAUACAGGAGGAGGAGGAGGAAGAGGAAGCUGGCACUGAGAUUGCCAUCAUCCUGGAUGGCUCAGGAAGCAUUGACCCCCCAGACUUCCAGAGAGCCAAAGACUUCAUCUCCAACAUGAUGAAGAACUUCUAUAAGAAGUGCUUUCAGUGCAGCUUUGCCCUGGUGCAGUAUGGGGCAGUUAUCCAGACUGAGUUUGAUCUUCGGGAUAGCCAGGAUGUGAGCGCCUCCCUCGCCAGAGUCCAGAACAUCACUCAAGUGGGGAGUGUCACCAAGACUGCUUCUGCCAUGCAGCAUGUCCUAGACAACAUCUUCACGCCAAGCCACGGCUCCAGAAAAAAGGCAUCCAAGGUCAUGGUGGUACUCACUGAUGGGGACAUAUUUGAGGACCCACUCAACCUCACUACUGUCAUCAAUUCCCCAAAGAUGCAAGGUGUUGAGCGCUUUGCCAUUGGGGUGGGAGAGGCAUUUGAGAAGAAUAGGACCUACAGUGAACUGAAGCUGAUCGCCUCAGACCCUGAUGACAGAUACGCCUUCAAGGUGACCAACUAUACAGCACUGGAUGGACUGCUGAGUAAAUUGCAGGAGAAUAUCAUUCAGAUGGAAGGCACGGUUGGAGAGGCCCUCCACUACCAGCUGGCACAGAUCGGGUUCAGUGCCCAGAUCCUGGAUAAGGGGCAGGUGCUGCUCGGUGCCGUGGGGGCCUUCAACUGGUCGGGGGGUGCGCUACUCUACGACAUGCACAGCCGCCGGGGUCGCUUCCUGAACCACACUGAGGCGGAUACCGAGAAUGCGCAGUACAGCUAUCUAGGUUAUGCAGUGGCUCUACUGCACAAGGCCUGUGGCCUCUCCUACGUGGCAGGGGCUCCACGGUACAAGCAGCGGGGAGCUGUGUUUGAGCUCCGGAAGGAGGGCAGAGAGACCAACUUCGUGCCAGUACUGGAGGGAGAGCAGAUGGGAUCCUAUUUUGGCUCUGAGCUGUGCCCUGUGGACAUUGACAUGGAUGGGACCACGGACUUCUUGCUGGUGGCUGCUCCAUUUUACCACAUUCACGGAGAGGAAGGCAGAGUGUAUGUGUACUAUCUGAAUGAGCAGAAUGGUUCCUUCUCCUUGGCAUACACUCUGAGUGGGCACCCUGGAUUCGCUAAUGUCCGGUUUGGCUUUGCCAUGGCAACAAUAGGGGAUAUCAGUCAGGAUAACCUCACAGAUGUGGCCAUUGGGGCCCCCCUGGAGGGUUUUGAGGCAACUGAUGGCAACAGCUUUGGCAGCGUGUACAUCUACAAUGGACGCCAGGAUGGUCUUUCUACCAGCCCCUCUCAGCGGAUCAAAGCCUCAGCGGUGGCCUCAGGACUCCACUACUUCGGCAUGUCAGUGGCUGGUGGCUUAGAUUUGACUGGGGACCGCCUUCCUGACAUCACCGUGGGCACCCUGGGCCGGGCAGCUGUGCUCCGCUCAAGACCUGUGGUUUACCUGAAGGUGUCCAUGACCUUCACCCCUAUGGCACUGCCCAUUGGCUUCAACAGCAGUGUGAAUGCUCAUUUGUGUUUUGAAAUCAACCCUAUGACCACAGUUGCUAACUCAGGCUUCAGAGAGACAUUUCUGAACUUCACAGUGGAUGUGGAUGUGGUGAAGCAGAGGAAAAGGCUGCAGUGUUCAGACAAGAGUAAUUGUCAGAGCCACCAUCGGGAGUGGGACACCAGUAUGUCCCAGCUUUGUGAGUCCCUCCUGCUUAUUCCCACAGAGGGAGAGCUCUGUGAGGAGGACUGCUUCUCCAACAUCAGUGUCAGCAUCAGCUACCAACUCCAGACCUCAGAAGGCCAGAGGGACCAUCCCCAACCCGUUUUGGACUUCUACACUAAACCCUUCACCAUCUUCCAGCUGCCCUAUGAGAAGAACUGCAAGAAUAAAUUGUUUUGUGUUGCUGAGUUACAGAUGGCCACCACUAUCUCUCAGCAGGAAUUGGUGGUUGGUCUCACAAAGGAGCUGACUAUGAACAUUAACCUAACUAACUCUGGGGAAGAUUCCUACAUGACGACCAUGAAUUUGAAUUACCCCAGAAACCUCCAGUUUAAGAGGAUACAAAAGCCUCCUUCUCCAGACAUUCAGUGUGAUGACCCUAAGCCAAAUGCUUCUGAGCUGGCCAUGAACUGCAAGAUUGGUCACCCUGUACUCAAGAGGUCAUCUGCAAACUUUUCAGUAGUUUGGCAGCUAGAGGAGAAUGUCUUUCCCAACAGGACAGCUGAUAUCACUGUGACAGUCACCAAUUUCAAUGACAGAAAUUCUUCAGUCAAACAGAGCCACAGCCUUCAAUUCAAGCAUGCCUUCAUCGCAGUUCUUCCGAAACCUUCAGUGAUGUACAUGAACACAAGCCAGGGGCUUUCUGUCUACAAAGAAUUCCUCUUCAAUAUACAUGGGGAAAAUCUCUUUGGAGCUGUAUUCCAGCUGCAAAUUUGUGUUCCAAUCAAAUUACAAGGUCUCCAGUUUAUAAGAGUGAAAAACCUGACGAAGAUUCAGGUACAAUACAGCCCUUGCAACCAUCUGCCCCCUCGUCCAUCUGGGCAGCCCCUUGAGACCCAAUCUCUUGACAGGAGUCCUGGUCUGUGGCCCUAUUCUUACCGAUGCUUGAUAAACCUGGCCUCUCCAACCUCUUCCCAGCCCAUUCCCUUUCACAGCAAGACUCCCUCAUAUUCUUCCCAUCUGCCGCAAACUCAGAAUCUUCAGGGUUUCCAGAGUCCAUAAGACUAAAGAGAGCUGACCUGAGGCUGGCAUGGGCUUGGUGGGCCAGUCUGGUGAACCUGCUUCCUCCCGUUGCUGCCUCCUGGAAGCCAUGGAGGGAUGUUGGGUCCGGGGAGGCUGCUGGGAGAUGGAAGCCGCUCGGGACUUCGGAGGCCGCAUCCAGAGAGGCGGAGGGGCCAGGGCCGGGAGAGGCCAGACUGUUGAACAGGGAGGCACUGGUGCCCAGCUCGCCGCCGUCCUCGGGCUGGUCGCACGUACUGAGGUCCGGGCUGAGGCGGCCUGGGUUGCCCUUAGGAAAGGGCGGCGGUCCAAGCUGGCCGCAGGGGGUGCUGCACUUUUGCGGAGGCCGAGCUCGCAGCCUCAGGCGUCGUGGAGUCACGAUCAGACUCGGCCAGUCCUUGGAGGCUUGGCCGCCAGGGCGCCUCCGCCGCUGACUUACCGGAACGUCGAGGAAGUCAGGGUCGUCGGGAUCGUCGGAAGCGAUAGACCCCGAGGGGCCGUCGCUGCUACUACUGCCGCUGCUGAAAAAACGCUUCCGGUCUUGCGGCGGGAACCACUGCGCGACUGCCCGGUCCGGCCGCCGCCGCGGCCUCCCGCCGCCCACAGCCCCAUACGUUCGGAAGAGGCGAUUCCCGAGUCGCUGGCGUGACGCCGCCAUGGUCGGCACCCGCCCGGAGAUUCAAAUGCAAACACCGCGAGACUUCCUUAAGACAGACGCACGGGCGGGCCUGACUGCUGGGUCCUAGCGUCCGGCCGCCAACACUAAGUGCAACUCCAGUCUGGAGAAAGAAUGUGGGAAAGACCCCGUUUGG